GCAAGUUUUAACCUUCUUUCCAAUUAGACUUGAAGUGUGAGUUUUUUCAUGAAUGUGAAUAUAAUACACGAUAAAUAAGUGGAUAAGGUAUGCAUUUUCACUGACGAUAGUAUGACCCUAAGGCCUAAACAGAAUAAAUAAUGCUCGCCGUCGCCGUUUGCUUUAGCUUAUCGCAAGCUAGCACAAGGCCAUGUUCAAGCAGCUCGGUAUGUUCAAGCAGCAAGCAGCGCAGUCGAGCGAGAACGGCACUGCAGUCCUUUCAGACUGCCGUUCAGCGAGGCGGGCGCGUGCAUACGGGCACACGGUUCAUCUACGACUGCGGUCAAGCCAGCCGACUCAUCAAGAUCGGCGGUCAAGCCAGCCGACUCAGUUUUUUGCCGUACCUGUAUAUACUAGCCAUUACGACAAAUUACAUAACAGCACACAGACAGACCGCAGCAUUGAAGGGCCUUAUUUUAUUUCUCUGUGAGAGUCACAAGAAGCUGUUCAGGAAUUGUCUGGAUACUGACCCAGAAGAGGAGAAGACAAGGGGUCUCAUUUUGGGGAUACUUUCUGUGAUGGAGGAUCAAAGUUCCGCUCCUGCAAGACUUCAAAACGUAGCUGUGGUUUUAGAAGAACAUAUCGUCUUACAAGACCUCCCUGACCUGCCAACGGCCCUUGCGUUGCUCUUUGGGCUGAUAUAUACGCCCUGAACAUCCAAAGGGCGUAUAUAUCAAUCAAUCAAUAAAACAUGAUCUGUG
ensembl:lncRNA